GAUGAAGAACGCAGCGAAAUGCGAUAAGUAGUGUGAAUUGCAGAAUUCAGUGAAUCAUCGAAUCUUUGAACGCACAUUGCGCCCCUUGGUAUUCCAUGGGGCAUGCCUGUUCGAGCGUCAUUUGUACCUUCAAGCUUUGCUUGGUGUUGGGUGUUUGUCUCGCCUCUGCGUGUAGACUCGCCUUAAAACAAUUGGCAGCCGGCGUAUUGAUUUCGGAGCGCAGUACAUCUCGCGCUUUGCACUCAUAACGACGACGUCCAAAAGUACAUUUUUACACUCUUGACCUCGGAUCAGGUAGGGAUACCCGCUGAAUUUAAGCAUAUCAAUAAGCGGAGGA
rnacentral:misc_RNA from 1 species